UCAUGUUUUUUGUUUCUUACUUUUGACAAAUGUUUCACUUUGCCGUUAUACACUGCUUGUAUGUCAUUGGUUUUGUACCUGGUCCAACAUUUGCUACUUUGUAUAGAAAGAAAAAGCCUUUAUAUUUCUAUGAAGAACAUUGCUGUAAAAGUAUCAAUGGCGACCCUUCCGCGAGAUUAUAUGAGUGAUUAAAAGCCAUUCACACAAAAAAAGAACAUAAACAAAAUGGCGUCUUUUGAUUGUUUUCUUUUUUUCAGAAUCCUCAUCGAGACUUCCAAAAAUGAACAUUCGGUUACUAAUUAAUCUCAUUUUACUGACAGUAAAAUCAAAACUAAAUCGAAAAGAUUAUGCCAUUUUUAUCGUUUUAAAUCAUAUUUUCAAUUGAACUGAGCAACUUUAUUUCUAUCUGAAGGUGUCUUAAAUUUUUACGUGGGUAAGUGUACAUGUAUUUCGGCUGUUCUGUCUAGAUACUGAAAAGGUCAAUACUCUGCAUUGAAUUUAAGUUUCUCCUUGAUGAAACUAUUUAAUUUUGUGAAUAUUUAAAUAUUAGGAUCGGGGUUCAUUGUUCUUGAGUUUAGAUGGGUAUAAGCCACACAUGAACUUCUUUCAAAUCAUCCAAUAAUCGCUGUCAUAAUUUAUCGGUUUUCCUUUAAUACCAAUAAAGUUUUUACCUGGCGUAUUAACGAACAAAAAUUAAUGUUUAAUCCCGAAAUGUCCAUUUAAGCCUAUUUUGGGACUAGUAAAAUAUCUUUAUUUUUGUCUCUAUAGUACAGCCAGUCAGGCCGCCGGGAGAAAAUACUCGUAUUAUAAUACAAGACUACCAGACAUCGAUGCCAACGUUACAGGCACAGAGCGUACCCAGCCUGGUAAUGCGUACGAAUCUGUCGAAGGAAGAAACGUUGACGAACAUAAAUACGAAUGUAGAAGAUGGUAACUGGUUUCCUCAAAAGAAAUAAGAUGGAACUUCUGUAUCAUUGAUGUUGUUUCAUUGCUUCCAGUACCACAAACGAGACACAAUAACAAUACUUAAAUUGUUUUAUUAAAGUCAUUUUACAUCAUAUACAUCAACAGAAGGCCUCAGCACCAUGCUAAUUGCUGUAUAAUUAGUUUUAUAGUCAAUAUAUGUAAUAACAAUGGAAGCCGGUGCGUCAUGCUAAAUGUCAAAUGCCAAAUAUUAAAUGCUAAAUGCCAAUUAGUUACUGCUAAAGGCCAAUUAUUUAAAUUAUGCUAAAUGACAAUUACUUAAUGUUUAAUGCUACGUACCAAAUGCUUUAUUACGCCAUAUACUUUAGGCUAAAUGACAAAUGCUAAAUAUCAAAUAGCUAAUGCUAAAUGAUAAAUGCUGAUCGUUAAAUUCGAUUUCAUUUGAUGAGUAAAUGAUUUCUAUCUCUUAACCUAAUGAAUGUAACUUUUAAUUAUUUAAGACAUAUAAUAUUCUACUAGUCUGACUUGAAACAAUAACAUGUUCUACUGCCCGUAAGAACACUGGACAGAAACACUUAGCCAUAGGCAUUUGGCAUUUAUUGUUUCGCAUUUCUCAAUUAUUAAUUAGCAUUUCGUUUGACAAUUACCGUUUGGCUAUCAAUAUUUGACAUUCAGCAUUUGACAAAUAGCUUUUCACAUUAACUAUUUGAUAUUUAGCAUUUGGCAAUUAGCAUGGCGCAGCGGUCUUCCAUAAAAGACUUAAACCAAAUGUUUUUUCCUAGGCCGGUGCGCCAUGCUUAUUGUCAAAUGCUUAAUGACAAAAGGUUUGUGCAAAACGCUUUUUGCCUAAUGCUUUAAGUCAAAUAUUGACUAUCUAACGGCAAUUGUCAAAUAAUAGAUGCUUAUUGUUAAAUAAUUGAUAAAUAUUUAUUGCUAAGUGCUUAUUCAAACAAAGAACUAAAUAUAUCAGUAGCUAAAAGCAUCCCUUAUAAAUCAUGGCCUUCGUUUCAUAACUUUGUUUUUGUUAAUAACUUUUUUUUUGAACAUUUUAAAGUAGAGUUUCGGUCCUAUGCUCCCAUCACCGAUGUUUCAAUUCAAACUCGUCUGCUAGGACACCAUAUGUUUUGAAACAAAUAAAAUGUUUUUCCAAUAGUUUAAGAGAUACAGGUCAUUAACUCAUAAAAUUAAAGUUUUAUGACUAGCAGUCGUUAUUUGGCAAUAACCAUUAGCUAUUUGACAUUACGCGUUUGGCAUUUAGCAUAUAAUAUAUGGUAAAAAGCAUUUUACGUAGCGUUAAGCAUUUAAUAAUUAACAUUACAUGUUUGGUAUUUAGCAUUUUGGAAUAAUCAUGGCGCACCGACCUUCCAUAUUAUUUCUUAAACUUAAUGCUCAAUGCCAAAAGUUAAACGUCAACUAUUUAAUGCUUAUUGCCAAAUGAUAAAUGAUAAUUGUCACAUGUCUUGACUUUAUGAGUUAAGGAUCUGUACUUAUUUAAAUGUUGCAUUCAUCCAAUGAUAUAUGCAGCUUAUUUGUUGAACAAAUACUUAGCAAUAAACAUUUGAAAUUUAUUUGUGCACAUUUUGUAAUUCACAUUUAGCAUUUACCAUUUGACAGUCAAAAUUUGACAUUAUCCAGGCACUGGUAAUUUCUGAGAUGCUCUUGAGUGUCUCCCACCUAACUAAGAGGCCUGUACUGGUUCUUACCCGGAAAAACGGCCUCGCGUGUAUCGGUGCUAUACAUUGGGCACGUUAAAGAACCAGACUGUCUAUUCGCAAAGAGCUAGGCUAAGUUAGCCGGAAAGGCUUGUAUCUAAAAAGGGAUUUCUCUCUCUCUCUCUAUUCUGGGGCUUUACCUCACUCUGUCCCUCUGGUCAGAUCGCUGUUUGUAGUACAGGAUGAAUUUCGCACCCUGUGUGGUGGCUGCGUUUGUACUAAGUAAAGCGCCUUUGAACGUGUUUAACAUGAACAUAUAAAUCUGUAUAAUAACAAUAAUAAUUAAGCAUCUCGCAAUUAGCAUUUGUCAUUAAGUAGUUCACAUUAGACAUUGUGUUAUUCAUAAACGUUUUAAAAUGUUACUAUUUCAUAUUAAUUUGUCACACUAACGUGAAUUAAAAAAGCAACAUUCGUAUACAUGGCAAUAAUUACAAUAUUUACUGAAAUGUUUUGAUGUACGUUGAGCUCGUGUUGUAAUGCACCUCAUACAAAAUUCACAUACAAUGAAAAUCCUAGUACAUGUCGCCAUCUUUUGACGACUUCCAAGGAUAUUCAAUAUUUGUUAUCGAUGUCCAGAUAUGUGUAUAUCCGUAACGAACUAUUUCAAAUACGAGCUAAAAGAGGGUUAGUUAUAUUUCGUGUAACACACAAUAAUCUCAACCAUAUUACCUUUAAUCAGUCAGCAUAUAUGACAGAACUAACGUACACAGUAAUAAAAAUUGUCUUUCAAUGAUCUCGAAUCUACAGAUGAAGUGUUUUUUAU